GUGCUUGCUUCAGCACCACAUAUACUAAAAUCAAAGGAUACAGAGAAAAUCAGCAGGGCCCCCACAUAAGGAUGACAUGCAAAUUUGUGAAGUGUUCCAUAUUUCA